UCAAAGCACUUUCAAAUUCUAUUACAAACCUACAGAAUUUGCAAGUGCUAAAUGUCUCUGGCUGUCAAUAUCUCAAGGAGUUGCCUGAAGAUAUUAAAAAUUUGAGUAAUCUUAGGCAUUUAUAUUGUCAUAAUUGUUACUCUUUGACUCAUAUGCCACGUGGGCUUGGGCAACUGACUUCACUCCAGACACUGACAUGGUUUGUAGUGGCAAAAGAUAGUUCAAUCUCAAAGAAUGUUGGAGGAUUAGAUGAACUGAAUAGCCUCUACAAUUUGAACGGAAGUCUCAAAUUAGAAAUUUGGGAUUUGUGAAAAAUGGGAAAGUAAAUCCUAAUUUGGAGAAGCUGCUUCUUCAAUCAUUGGUUCUAGUAUCGAGUCGAUAUGGUGAUGCAAGGGGUGAUGUAAAUGGUGAUAGUGAAGAAAUGGCACUGCAAAAUCUCCGACCAAAUUCUAAUCUUAAAGAGUUAAAGGUGUAUCAGUAUGGAGGCAGGAGUUUCCCAAGUUGGCUUUCUUCCCUCACAAAUCUUGUCCAUAUCCUGUUAGUGCGUUGUAGCAGUUGUAAGCAUCUUCCAGCAAUGGAUCAAAUCUGUUCUCUUCGAAAGCUAGAGAUUGGUGGUCUAGAUGAUUUAGAAUACAUAGAAAUUGAGGGACAAGGAACAUCAUUUUUUCCAUCUCUGAAGUAUCUCAUUAUAAAGUAUUGUCCGAAGCUAAUGGGAUGGCAGAAGAAGAGGGAUGAUUCAACAGCUAAGCUAGCCCAAUUUACGUUUCUUUCCCAGUUCAUUUGUCAUAAUUGCCCUAAAUUGAGUUGGAUCCCUCAGUUUCCAUCUCUCAAUGAAGCACUAGAAUUGAACAAUGUAAGCUUGCAACUUGUGCAGGAAAUAUUCACACCAUCAAUAUCUUCUUCCUCAACCGUUCCUCCUUUCUCUCAAUUGAAGACGCUCAUGUUUUCUCAAUUAGCAGUCGAAUCUCUACAGCCAUAUGGACUGCAGAAUCUCACUUCUCUUGAGAAACUAACAAUAUUUGAUUGCCGAGACUUGAAGUCUCUACCUCAAGAGAUGCGUUCCCUCACCUCUUUACGAAAAUUGCAUAUUUAUGGAUGUCCCAUAUUGAGGAGAAGAUGUGCAAAUAAAUAUUGUGAGGAUUGGCCUUUAGUUUCUCACAUCUCAUAUAUUAAUGUCCAAGCCAGAAUUAUUCAAUUGGAGGGCCACUAUCAACUAGACGACAAUGAAUCUGACAUACCACAUAGUGAUGACGAAAGGAACGCAAGUUUACAGUAUGCAUAGUGAAAUUCUAAUAGAUUGGAAAGUGGUGAACAAAUAGAGAGGAUGCUGAAUCCAUUGGCCUUGCCGCCAGUGGUGAUUUCCCAUGUUCUUCGUGAGGCUAAUGCUGUGGCUGACUCGUUGGCUAAGGAAGGACUUGCCCGUAAUUCAGAUCUGGUUGCCACCCUCUGAUUUUUUGCAAUUCUGAUUUUCUUUCAAUCACUGCUUGCUUUCUGCAACAUGUGUUUCUUGGUUGGUGCUAGUUGCUGUUGGAAUCUUUUCUCCUUGUGUCGGAGAGUCAUCACUAUUUUGCGUUGUGGCUUGGGAUGUUCGGUUGUUGGCCUAGUGUGGUUUGCAGUAAGCUAUUGUUAAAUCUGGUUGAGUGCUUCUGUUUCUUGCUUGUUUUAUACUUGCGAUUCUAGUCUUUGCUUUCCUUUCUAUUUUAAUUGUUUGUCUUGGUGUUUGUAUCGUUCUAGCUAGGUUUUUUCACUUAGCUCGUUUCUCAUUAGGUGGGUGUAUUGGGGAGACCUAUUGGUCUGGGUUUAGUAUGAGUUACAAGCUAAGUUUUUCCUAGCAUUUUAUUAAUAAAGUUCUUGCUUAUAAAAAAACCAAGGUGUCAUGGCAGCAAUAUAUGUAAGAAAUCCAUAAGUUUCCUUAUAGUACUAUAAUCUUUUUAUUUAAAUUAUAUAUUUUAAAUAAAAUUUUUUAAUUUAUUUAAAAUGUCAAAUGAUUUAAAAAAUUAUUAUUUUAUCAUUUUUUCUUUUAAAUUCAUACUUUAAACACACUACAAAAUUCCCGCACAAUGCAUGGGCUUUGGACUAGUUCUAAUCAACUGGGAAGUGGUGAACAAAUUCAAAGGGUGCUAAAUGAAUUGGCUGGUAAUGCUUUUAUCCAGAGUAUUCUUCUUUAUUUAUUUUCUUUAAUGCAUUUAAAAAGUUUGAUUUUGAUUCCAUUCGCAGAAGUUAAUAGUGCAGAUAUUGAGAAACCAAGGCAUGAUGAUAAGGGAGCAGUUACUUGUAAGUCCAUCUUCUUAUAUGCUAAGUGUUGCAAGAAAUUGGUGGUAUGCUAUUUUUCAUUAGUUUUAUGUUUCUUUUGUUCCAGCGGGUGAAAUUUUUUCUUACACGAGUAACUUGAAUUUCUAAUACAACCACAAUUAAUUCGAUAUUUUCAGGAUGUUAUUAAGAAUUUAGAAUUUCCCAACUCCUGGAGAAGUGAGGACAAUGAUCCAGCAUGAUGGAAUGAUGAAGGCGACUUGUGAUGGCAAGCCCUUAAAGGCCAUACCGGAGAUUACUUUCCAGUACUCAAAAUGAUCAGAUGCCUUCAUGAUGGAAUGCUUUUGCCCAACUUGAGGCAAUGGGACAUCAUUUAUUACUAAGAAGUUAGGCAUGUUCAUAUCCUUCAAAUUCAAUAGAGUUUAGAAGAAUCUACACUACUUGCUGCCUUUGCUUUGGAGUGAAAUACUGGUGAAGAAUCAAAUUUCGCUGUUGAGUUUUCUUCUCAAUCAAUAAAGGCUCUGAUCUGUAAAUAUUUCUUUUGAUCCUCACAGAGAAGAUAUAUGUAUAGUUGUGUAUUUAAAUAUGUUUGAUGGGCAUGGAGCUUAAUAGGUUUUAUGGUUUCUUUUAGCUGUAAAAUUUAGGGGAAAUUCUAUAGGUUAGGGACAGGUGUGUCACAAGCUAUACUGCAAGAUGUUUUAUGCAGGUUUCUGUGGGCAGAGUGGACUUGUUUUCCCUAUGGAUUAGCUUUUGCCAGAAUGCUAACCCUAUAUGUUCACUGGACAUGGGAUACUCCCGAAGUUUCUUGGACCAACAAUACGAGUUAUUUGAGAAUGUUUUCCUCAACUGUCUGCUCAAUUCCACAUUCAACCACCCUUCUGCCUAUGAGAGAUUUACAUGGAUGGAAAAUUUCUAAUCAAAGUUUCUUGUUGUCUCAAAGACCCAUAGAGGAGCCUCUCAAAUUGCAGGCAUUUCUCAUCAAGCAAAUCUAAUUUAACAAAAUGAUCCACACCCCUCAAAUGUCAACACUUCAAUAGUUGUCCCACCAAGUGGAUGCUCUUGUUGAUGGCAGAUCCACAACCAGUUCCCAAUCUUUAAGUUUAUCAAGAUUUUUGUGUUGUAAUUAUAACUAUUUGAUUAUGUAAUGUUUUUCAGGCAGUUGUUGAGAUUGUAGCCAUAGAUAUUAUCCCUUCACAUGUUUUCUAUAAUAAUCAAACAGAAUUAAGCUU